rnacentral:lncRNA from 1 species
UGAGUUAUCAUUGAGAACUAAAUGGAGAAGAAAAGAACUGAAGGCCUGAAGAUAUGUCAUCUGUAGAAAAGAUGGACAUCUGAAAUCAUCAAACCCUUGAGAGAAACAGCCCUCAUUCUUUUAUGAGACAACCUGGAAGAACACAGGACUCUGAAGAUUUGUCUCCAUAUUCUCUGGAAAGAUGUACUCUGUUUGCAAUAAGAGGGAGCCACAUGGUUUAUUAGAUGGUUAUUAAUUGAGCAUUCUGUGCAAAGAAGUUUGUGCCUUAGAUUUAGAAUUCCACCCUCAGUUGGAAUACAGAUGAUCCCUAACAAGUCACAUGAAAAAAUGAAUUGUGGAGCCAGAAGAGUGAGUUCUUGGAGAACUAAGGGCCAGAGACCUGUGAGCAAGAUUUGAUAAUUUUAUAAAAAUUAAAAGACGAUUUGAAAUGUUA